UAUUCAACUUGACUCAAUUGUUUCAAUCUUGCGUUUAUAAAUCAUUAAAAAUUGUAGAAUCUAUUUAUUCCUUUAUUUCAUGAAACAAUAUUUGAUAAAAAUCAAUAUAAUGUAAUUUCAACGAUUCAAUAAUAAAUAUUACAACAUCUAAAACAUAAAUCUUAAAGUAUACAACACACUAAAAUAUAUGAAAAACACCAAUAUAACUGUUCAAAUGCACAAAACUGCUAUAUAACCAUAUUUAACAUCCACCUGCGCCAUAUCGCGAAUCUCGCACGGGCUGUUAUCCACGCGAGUGCACCCGCACAGUGAACAGGCCACGUGAUCGCAACGUCGCAAUUGAAAAAGCAAGAGAAAAUGAAGAUAAGGACGAAGAUUAAAAAAAAAAAAAUAGAAAAAUAAAUAAAAAAAUUAAAGAGUCUAAAAUAAAGAAAAAGAAAAGGAAAAACGCAGCCGCCAGGAGAACGUUGGAACACAGAGUACUAUUAAUCCGUUCUCCCUUGGCUCGGUCGCGUCGCAUGUUUUCAGGUAUAAACUCGUCGGGCGCCGCUCCGCGGAAGAGCGUGUGCACCACGAGAAUGCAUCGACGAGAAACGUGCACCGGCACGCUGCAACUGCAGUGCGGGACUGCGGCGUUGCAUCUGGCGACGGUGGCGUCGGAGGCUUUGCCAGCCGCAGAGGCCUGAAAGCUGUGUGCGAGCGGGAGGUGCUUUUCACAGCGACAGAGAGACAGAAGAACGAACGCGUAUCACGAGGGCCGAGGAAACUGUGGGGAGGGACGAGGAGGGAGAGAAAAGUCCAAAGGAAGAAGACAGACGUAGAGAGCGAACAAAGAAAGAGAAAGGAGAGCCACGUGGUUGCCGGUUCACGUCAACGUCGUCACGCAGAGGAAAGAGAAACACUCCUCCAUUCGUCUCCCUUCACUCCUCUUUUCUUCCCCUUUUUAUCCUUGUUCGGUCUUCCUCUUGUUUCCAUCUCCCUCACACUCGUACGAUCUCUCGCCCGUCUGUCUUUCUCUAGCGACCACGCAGGAGCGCGCACGCCCUCUCUGUCUCGCUUCCAACAAUUUCUUUCCUCGUCUCAUAGUCGUUUUUCUUCCUUUCGCUGAUGUAAUUGUCCGGUUACUCGUCUCUGUCCCACCGUCCACCGGUUUCUGCCGUCGCUUUUUUCAUCAUACUUCUCUUUCUUUCUCAAUCUUUAUUCAUCUCAUUUCAACUUUCAUAAAUUUCUCAUUUCUCUUUCUCUCGAUAUUCUGCUCUUUUUCUCUCUCUCUCUCUCUCUCUUCCUCUCCCUUUCUCUCUUCAUUUCUCUGUCCUUUUUUCCAACGUGUCGUCGUUUCUCUCGCGUAACGCGCGAUCUGGCCCGAAACAAAACUUUUUGACGUUUUUCGCGCACCCACCCUAGGAAUAUGGACAUACGUCAACUACGUGUGUGGGGAAUGCGCCAAGUCCGUAACGGGAGCACGGGAUUGGUGGAACGUCUAGCCAAUCCCAUUGCUAGCCGGCGCCGAAGCGGGGAACAUAGUCAGAGGGAUGCUGCGUGGAAAGCGGUGGUUUGGAGGGGAGGAAAUCCAGCGGGAUGAGGGAAAAGCAGGGAGAGAGCGAUGAAGCGCAGGGCCGUAAGAUAUUGGGGGGGUUUUGCGAUCGAAGAAAAAACGGCUGGCCUCGGAUGGAUCCGGAAGUUGAUUAGGAGACCGUCGAUACUGGAGGAUGUAUUUUUAUCUCGAGUGAAACGUAAAUGGCGUGAAAGUUAUUGAGCGCCGAAUGAAAUUGUCGUUUCUCGAUGGGCAGCUUCGUUAACAAUUAUUAUCAACCGUUCGAGAAUUCUCGAUAGAAUUUUGUCAUUCGUAUUCAUUGCGAUAACAUUAUUUUCGCAAGAUAAAUUUCAUUCCCACUCAUUGGCAAUAAAAAUUGCAUUAUCGUAGUAAAAAAAAAAAAAAAAAUGAUUACUUUUAAGAUAUACAUACAUAUGAAUUUAUGGUAAAUUAGUUUUAGGGAAAAUUGUUUCACGUGAAAAAGAAUUUAGUUCGGUCGUAACGAAGCUUGACGUACGGCACUGGCUAGAAGGAAACGCGUUGGACGCGGGGUCCCGGGGGACCAUGAACAAGCGAACAAAGGAUGCUUUGAAGGGAGAAGAGGAAGACUCGAGGAGAGAGCUUCGCCUCAUUCCCUUUCCCUGAUGGCUGGCAGAGAGGGAUCUCCGCUCAUCUGUUCUUGCCCUGCGGUAGGUAGGUUAGGUGGAUACAUUUGGCUCUCUUUUCAUCUUUCUCUUUCUCACCAUCAAUGCUCCCCUGCCGGUCCAUUCCUCGUGGUGGUGCACUCGGUGCUUCUAACGUAUCCUACGAAAACCGACCCCCACAGGAACCACGAAACAGAAGUAUCCACGCGUUUUCGCGUUUUAGCUCUCUCAAUACACGAUAUUCCUCUCGAUUCUCAUAAACGUUCGUGUUUUCAAUCGGUUCGAUACGAACUCUUUUUCAUCGAAAAAUCAUUAAUUUCCUGAUUUUUUUUUUUGUGCAUUUUAUCUAACAAAAAUAUCUUUUUGAUAAUUUACUCACAAACGUUUCAUUCUCGCGGUAUAAUAUACGAUGUUUUAAAUAAUCUUUUUAAAAGAAGAAAAAAACAUUUCGUGUACAUGUUGUAUUUGAUAUUAUGUUAUGAUUAUUUUCAUCGCGUGUGUAUCUCGUGUUAUAAAGUUCUACGUAAUAACUAUUUCGACGUUUCUUUAGUAGUUAGUUUUCAAAGUUUAAAGAAAAAUUAAAGAAGCGCGAUUAUUGCGUAUGAGGUGUCCGUUACAUCAUAGGAAAAAAAACCCUAGAAAGGCACUAGACGCGCUAGCGACGAUGUAACGUGGCACGAAAAAAAGUUUUAUAGUUAGGCAUAUGUAUACGUAAUACAAUAAUCCACAAGCACGAUGGUAGAGCAUCGUUUUCGAGAAGUCCAGACAGCAUCGCCAUCGCCGCGUCUCUAUAAUAUUCUCGGAGAGAUAUUUCAGAGAGAGGGACUUCGGUGAAGUCUGUCUAACGAUGCUGGAAGACCAGAGAAAGACAGAAAUAUAGGUGCGCGGGCGCACACACGACCAGGCUGCGCGUUGUUCACGUCGAAUAUGCAACAAGAAAGAGAAGGAGGCAAAGAAGAAGAAGAAGAAGAAGAAGAAGAGAACGAGAAUCUCGAUCCUCGUCCAACCAGUUCUUUCAUUUCCUAUCUCUAUCCAUCUCGUUUUAUUCAGCCUUUCUCUAUCUUUCUCAUACUACCUCUCUCACUCGUUUAUUUAUUUUCCUUGUCUCUCUUCAUUUUGCCUCUGUCAUUUCUCUUUGUUCUCUCUCGCUCAACCGGUUUUCUCGAUGUCUCCAUCUUCGUUCAUCGCUAACCACGUUCCCGUUUCCUCUCUAUCUUCAUCGCUCGUCCCGUCUCUCUUACACCGCCAUUCGUGCUUCGAAUACCUUCCUCUCUCCCUAACUCUAUCCCUAUCCUACUCACGUAUCGAACAUCGCUCUUUCUCCGUCCCCAGCCCCAUUCCCUCGACUCCGCCACCAACACACUCGCUCGAUCCGUCCAUUACUCGCUCAUCUCGCUCUCUGUCCUUCCCCCUCUGCGUCUCCUGCCCCGGCUGGCCGUAAUACUUCUCAUCCCUCUCGCUUACUCUGUUAUUUCUCUCCGACCUCCGUGCAUGGCAGAUACGCGCGCGCGCGGCAAUAGCUGGUUUCAGGAGACAGAAAAACGGCGGGCAGGGAGGGAGGAGGAUCGAGGGAGGGAAGGAGGGAGGAGAAGAGUGACAGGAGAGAAGAGAGAGAGAGAGAGAGAGAACCGGGAGUACGAUAUUCUCGAGUCUAAGAUAGGAGGAACGAACGAACAGGCGAGGAGAAAAAGAGACAGAAAGAAAAGAGAGUGGAAGACGCAAAAUCGUGUCCAAGCAUUAACGCUACUCUCUCCCUUCCACUUGCUACUAGCUUCGUCCGUUUCUCACCGAUUCCUCCGUUCUUCUACACGUCGCACCGCUCCGCGCGGCUGCUGCUGCUGCUGCCGCGGCGGCAGAGAGGGAUUUUAAUUUUGCCGGAUAAGUAUUUAUCUCGAAACGCGCGGAGGUUCCGUAAUGGACAAGGUGUAUUUUCGGCGCGAUGUAAAUCAACGGACUUACGGGCAACUAUACGUGCGCGCGCACAUAUAUUCCCAUAAAUCUAUUUAAAUAUAUGGCCGUGCGUGGCGCUCGCGUGCUUCGGGAAGCUGUACAGCGUAGUAGAGCAUUCUAUAUCGUAUACAGCUAUACGAACACAGCUGGUAAACGUGAAUCUGUAGAUACACGUGGGAGCCUCUUCUCGCUUUGACAUCGGGGGAAGCGUGUCUAAAUUGGGAGUUAAAGGUGGGGCAAGCUCCGGAGAGAGAAGAUACACGACGCGGCAGAGGGAAGUUCGAAGAGGCGGGGAAUUAUACCUUCCAUUUCGUUCUUCUCUUCUCGCCGGCGUCCUUACAGAAAGCGCUUCUAAACGCGCGACUACACCCACGCUUGAAAUCUUGGUGUCCCUCGUGUACGUCGAGGACGAACGAAGGACAAAGGGAAGGAAUAGAAAGAAACGAUGAAAAAAUAGACGAGAGGAGGGAAUAUUUUCGCGGAGUAGAACAACGAUGAGGAAGAGCGGAAUGAUAGGGGCCUACGAAUGUUUGUCGAAAGGAAAAAGACGCGAGAGAAGCGGCUGCUGGAAAAACUGUACGGGAGAAGACUGACGCGUGAGAGAGAAAUCGAUGGAGGAAGGAUUAAAGCGAGAACGGGAAUGGAGAACCGGAAGGACGAACGGAGCGCCGGGCAAAAAGUUUGUCCGAAGGAGAGUAGGUGAAGGGAGAGAAAAAAGAGGCGCGUCCGAGAGGGAACAUGUAAAAUUCAGCAAAGUGGCGGAGCAUCGGGAUAAACGGAAGGUCGGAAGACGGAGAGGAAAGAGAGGGAGGACGAGGUGGACGGGAUUAGGGGAACAAUGGAAUCCGAUGAAAAGGGGGAAAAAAGAAAGGGAAAAAGGAAAAAAAAAAAAGAUCAAGAAGAACCUUGCAAAGAGAAUACAAUACGGAGCACCGUACGUACACGAUAGAAAGGAAUGAUGAAAAAUUCGCGGCGACGGAACGAGCGAGUCGCGAUGAAAGAACUGGAGGGAAGGAAAAGAGGAGGGGAUGGCGAGGCCUUCGGCUGUUACGAUUCACCAUGGGACGGACGAUCGGAAUAAGAUCGAGAGGAUUGAUGAUUCCAAUGGACGUGUUCGAAAGACCUUGCGUAGGUCGUGCUGGCUUCGUCCUUUAGCACCUACCAUGCGACUGAGCACCAACUAUCGAUCGAACCAACGAUAUAUACGUGACACGCUCGAACCACCGUGCAUACAUGCACAUACAUACACACGCACACGCACACGCCACGUUCCUGACCCGUACGGACGUUCGUGUGUAGUCGCGUAUAUAUAUGUAUUACACGUAUACGCCGGAUUAUAUAUACAUGUAUAUAUAUAGAUCGAUCGAUUGCUGGCCAUGGAUCGAUACGUGCGCGCGCAACCCACCCUCGUUUGCUCGCUCGCUCGCUCGAGGCUGUACGGUAAGGGUUGCUGCUGCCUAAGGUGUUCUAAGGGAUGGAAGGGGGGUGGUGGUGCCUAUUGGAUUUCUACGGACUUUUUUAUCCUUCUCUCCUGUUUUUCUACUCUCUUUUCUCGAUAUUUCUUCCUUUUUGAAAAACUGUAGACCCGACCCCGGAUAAGGUCUCUCCCUGGAAUGAUUCUAUGUACACGACAAACUCGCUUCGUAUCAAUUAUUAUUUUUAGAAAGAAAUUGCAUCCCAUGGAAAUAACGAUUAUUUGAAAUAUUAUUUGAUCGAGAGGAUUGUGAAGAUAAUUGUGAGAUAAUAGAAAAGAUACAGAAAUUUUUAAGAGUAGAAUGCUCGAUGAAAAACCAGAGAUUCUACAUUAAAUUCUACGAAUAAUUGCAUUAUUUUUGGAAAGCAUUUAUUCCAAAAUUCAACGCGAUAUUCUUUGAAACAUAUUAAAUUGUUCAAUUCUUAUUUUUAAUCGUUUAUAUAUCUAAGAAGAAAAAAAAAAGAAUAAAGUGUUCGUAAACGCAUCAUCUUAAAAUAUUUAUCGAUCCGCUCUUCCAAAACCGGGCAUCGCAUUUUUUCGAAAAAAAAUUCUACGCGCGCAAAAGUUUUUCAUAAUCAGCCCAUUGACGAAGCGCGUAAAGUGUCGACGAUCUACGCUGGCCGACAUAAUUAAAACUUCCAGAAAACAUAAUAACUACACAAUUAAAGCGCGUCCCUCCGACUACUCUCUCUCUUGUCAGGGACAUCGUGGAACAGGGGUGGGGGAGAGGAAGAGAAGGACGGAGAAAAGGGGUCUGAAAAGCGACGGAGACGCGGCGAUCCGUCGGGGGAGAGAAAAAUAGAGAAAGAUAGUGGGGUGUGUGCGCGCAAACGGCGAGGGUGGAAACCGAGAAAAAGAGAUAGGGAUCGAAAUGGAAAGAGAGGGAGGGAGUGAAACGAAAGAGAGAUGGACGAAAAGAGAAGAUUCCAAGCCGAGGGGGGUGGCUGGUGGUCUAUGGUUAGGAGGGGAGAGGAGGAGGAGAAGGGGGGGAUAAAAUGAUGUAAAAAUAACAAAUUGAAACUGCUGGCCAGGAGGGUUGGAUAACGCGGGGAGCGACGAGGACGACGUUCCCCGAUAUUCCCCGAGCCAGACGAGAACGGCCGAUCUAUAUAGUUACCGGUUGAACAGAGACAGGGAUAGCGGGAUGAACGAGACAGCGAGCAGAGAAGGGUGGGCCAAAGGGGUGGCACAAGUACAUUUCAAGCUGGUGGGGAUGCUCGCAGAGCUCCCCUCUUCGGGGGAAAAUAGGGGAGGGUUGUCGUACGUGUUAACUUGGCUACUAUAUAUAUAUAUACAUAUAUAAUAUAUAAUAUAUAUAUAUAUAUAUAUAUACACAUACCACCUGUAUAUACGUACAAUAUAUACGUAUAUAUAUACAUUAUAUACGUGCUCGAAUUAUACACAUACACCAAUAGAACCAGUACAAGUCCGCAAACCGGCACACCCAUACGUAACCCCCUAUAUACGCGCACCCCUUUUCCUCCUCUCCAAACGUCCACCCUCUCUCUCCCUCUCUCUCCGUCCUCGUCCCGCUCCCGGUCUCACGGCGCGAGUGUAUGUGACGCGAGGGGCAAUGCUCCAUCGUGCAACGUGGAAAUUUAGUUCCCUUCGUGUACACACACGUACGUACGGAUGGAAGGGGAUCGGUGCCCGCGGGUGUGUGUGGGGUGCUUUACGACUCGAUCGUAGCGUUAAUGGCACCGCUCGCUCCGCGCCCGUGUGUGUAUGUCUGUGUCUGUGCGUAGGUGGUGGUGCACAUCGGGGGAUGUGUUGGUGGCCGUCAGAGAACGCUUUCGACGUAUACCAUCCACCAGGUACUAGGCCAGCCGACUAUAUUUCGCGCGACCGAGCAGAUUUCACUAAUACGGGCCGCGUGGAAUACGUACGCGGGGAGGACCGCCCUUGCGAUCCACACACGUGGUGGAUAUCGCGAGGAGGGGGGUCGCGCCGAACCCCCUUUUCCUGCCUCCUCCUUCUCCCUCCGCGAUCCACAACGUUCGGGCAGUUUCUUUUUAUCGUCUCUCCGUUACGUUCGUUUAAUUCACGCUUUUCCUGCUGGUCAAGCCUGGUGAUUGCCGUUGAAUCGAGCGUGAACCAGGGAACCGCGUGUAAACGCCUCGUACAAGGAGGGGAGACAUUGCGAUGGGAUUGAUUUCGCGAAAAGAUUCACUGGAACAACUUUUUAUCAUUGUAAUACGAUCGUUAAAAUAAGUUUUUAGCAAGAUGUAUCAUGUAUUAGAGAUUGAAAAUAAUUUGUUCUUUUCUUUUUUAUGUAACAAUAAGUAAAAAAUUCAUAAAUAUUAAUUAAUUCCGUUUUUAUUCUUCAUCGAUUAUGAAAUAACGAUAAUUGAAUUAUAAUUCCUUGUAUACGAAUGUUAAAUCAUAAUGCUAAAUAAUAACAACAUUUUACAGAAUCUUCAUAAAACCACCAUCGAGUUCUCGCUACCUUCUUCUCUUCAAAACUGAUUUUAUUCUUAAUCGCAACACGGGAACGAUCUUACCCUCCUUCCCCAAACCUCCAUCACCUUCCGGAACAAUAUUACCUUCCGCAAUUCCGUAUCGCGUGGAAAGAUUCUCCCGUCAAUCUCUGCAUUACCGCAAAUCGACGAAUAUGUAAAUUUCUACGCAACGUUUGAUUCCAUUUCAUCCCUCCUCCAAAGGUUUCCAAAGGUUUGAAAUGAAAGGGAUCCGUUAUCACGGAUGGAAGAAGAAAGAAGAAUACGAUUCGUAUAUAUAUAUUCAUCGAAACAGGGCUGUCGAAAGCGAGAGGAGAUGUGAAAUGCUGGAAGGGGGGGAAAAAGAAAAAAGAAUUCACGCUCGUCUUUCGAGUUUCAUCGAGCGUCGACAGACACGAUCUCUCGUUAAUUACCCUUUCUCCAUAAUUCUCCAUGCGUUACGUUACCCAUAUUUAUUCGCGGACUCGUGGCGCGACCGUUUAAAACGCGUCGAAUGGAAAGCUCGAAAGCAUCUUGUCUGUGGGAGGAGGGCUCGGUUUUCGAUUCAUCACCGGGCCACUCGGCCUCGAGUGCUCGCGCGGGUGUGUAUCGUUGUUAAUUCUUCCGCGUUAUAUACAGCGUUGAUAAUCGGUUUCGCGAUUCCGCCAACGGGACCGGGAUCUGCUCCAGUUUUCGCCUUUGUUCCGUCCCGACCCGAGAUCGCCCGUUGUUCUAAGCGCGUAUCUUCUCGUGUUGGCGUUUUUUUUUUUUUUCGUGGAUAGGUUAGCGUGAAUGGAUUGAGAGACACAAAGCUGUGCGAAGGGGGUGGUUGUUGUUUCGAAACUGAAGUGCGGGAGGUUGAGCGAUGAGGGAUGCGACUCGUCGAUAUUGAAAGCGACGCUUUCGGAUUGGAAGUUUGAUCGUGAAAAAACACGAGGAAAUAUUCAAAAACGGAAAUCGGGCUGGAAGAUAGCGCGACAGCAGCGCCACGGUGUACGACCUAAUAUCCAUUUUCACAGGAGGAGCAUUAUUUAAAAUAGCCAGACGUCGGAGGCGACGGAGAUAUAUAUUUUUUUUUAAAUAAAAACUCAUUUACUAGA